GGAUUGUGGCUCAGUGGUAGAGAACUUGCCUUGCAUGUGUGAGGCCCUGGGUUCAGUCCCCAGCACCA
rnacentral:tRNA from 1 species